GUUCUGGGCCGCACGCGCGCUACACUGAUGUAUUCAACGAGUAUAUAGCCUUGGCCGACAGGCCCGGGUAAUCUUGGGAAAUUUCAUCGUGAUGGGGAUAGAUCAUUGCAAUGAUUGGUCUUCAACGAGGAAUGCCUAGUAAGCGCGAGUCAUCAGCUCGCGUUGACUACGUCCCUGCCCUUUGUACACACCGCCCGUCGCUCCUACCGAUUGAAUGGUCCGGUGAAGUGUUCGGAUCGCGGCGACGGGGGCGG
rnacentral:ncRNA from 1 species